GACGAACGCUGGCGGCGUGCUUAACACAUGCAAGUCGAACGGAAAGGCCCUGCUUUUGUGGGGUGCUCGAGUGGCGAACGGGUGAGUAACACGUGAGUAACCUGCCCUUGACUUUGGGAUAACUUCAGGAAACUGGGGCUAAUACCGGAUAGGAGCUCCUGCUGCAUGGUGGGGGUGGGAAAGUUUCGGCGGUUGGGGAUGGACUCGCGGCUUAUCAGCUUGUUGGUUGGGUAGUGGCUUACCAAGGCUUUGGCGGGUAGCCGGCCUGAGAGGGUGACCGGCCACCUGGGGACUGAGAUACGGCGCAGACUCGUACGGGAGGCAGCAGUGGGGAAUAUGGCACAAUGGGCGGAAGCCUGAGGCAGCAACGCCGCGUGCGGGAUGACGGCCUUCGGGUUGUAAACCGCUUUCGCCUGUGACGAAGCGUGAGUGACGGUAAUGGGUAAAGAAGCACCGGCUAACUACGUG
rnacentral:rRNA from 1 species